rnacentral:rRNA from 1 species
CGGGGGGGCAAGCGUUGUUCGGAAUUACUGGGCGUAAAGGGCUCGUAGGCGGCCAACUAAGUCCGACGUGAAAUCCCCAGGCUUAACCUGGGAACUGCGUCGGAUACUGGAUGGCUUGAAUUCGGGAGAGGGAUGCAGAAUUCCAGGUGUAGCGGUGAAAUGCGUAGAUAUCUGGAGGAAUACCGGUGGCGAAGGCGGCAUCCUGGACCGACAUUGACGCUGAGUGAGCGAAAGCUAGGGGAGCAAACGGGAUUAGAUACCCCGGUAGUCCUAGCCCUAAACGAUGAAUGCUUGGUGUGGCGGGUAUCGAUCCCUGCCGUGCCGAAGCUAACGCAUUAAGCAUUCCGCCUGGGGAGUACGGUCGCAAGGCUG